AAUGGGCCUGAAUAAACCAUAAUUAAUGAAUAAAAAGUCAGAUUUAAAUAAGUUAGGCUUACUACGGGCUUCGGGGGCCUUAAGCCCACCCAGGUCCUAGUGCCGGUCCGGUCCAUGGAAAUGGGUCGUGACAUUACCUUACCGUUUAGAGUUUGAAACUGUUUUAUGAAAGAUUAUAUUCAUUCACCUUUAGCGUUUAUAAUUUAUUUAUUGACACCCACUUGUCUUUA